GGGGCUGAACGGUUUCGACUUCGCGCAUCGAAUCAAGGGAAGCGUGCCGGUGCAGGCAAGAGACCACCGUAAGCGUCGUUGCGACCAAAUAAGCGCCGAUUCACAUCAGCGCGACUACGCUCUCGCUGCCUAAGCGACGGCUAGUCUGUCAGACCGGGAACGCCCUCGGCCCGUACCCUGGCAUCAGCUAGAGGGAUCCACCGAUGAGUCCGGUCGCGGGACUCCUCGGGACAACCACAGCGACUGGGAUCGUCAUCUCGGCUAGUUCGCGUGACCGGGAGAUCCGAGCAGAGGCAUAGCGAACUGCGCACGGAGAAGCCUUGAGGGAAUGCCGUAGGACCCGGGUUCGAUUCCCGGCAGCUCCACC
rnacentral:tmRNA from 1 species